AAACUGCGGUGUAGUGUGGGCAAGUUAAUUGUAUUAUUCAUUAAUCCAUACAAUAUGUGUUACAAUUCAUUUAUAUCUUUAACACUAACAAUUUAAUGUUGCCUAGUUGCAACUCCCAGCGCUUAUACAACAAUAUCUCUGUGAGGCAAACCCUUAUAAAAUAUAAUACAUAUAAUUUGUCAUUGAUUUGUUCUAUUUUAUUAUAUUUAUGUACUAAAUGGACAUUUUGGGCUACAUACAUACAAGUAUCAUACAUGAGCUGUAAGCUAGCGCCUGCGGUUCUACGUACAAUUUCGUAUUGGAAGUGCAAAAAUAUUGUACAUAAUAAAUAUACUUAUUUAGUGACAACUAUAAAUACGUAGGCAGAUCUUAAAGUUGCAUAUUUUAUUAGCAGGAAUAUGUAUUAUUGGAUAUGAUUAUUAAAUUAUUCACAAAAAUACAUAUUUUAACUACUACAUAUUCCUAUUUCUUUAUUAAAGCAUAUUUUUUUAAUAUUACAGGACUACAGGCGAGUUCAAACUAUCUAAAAUUAUAUAAUAGUUUUGUUAUAAUAUAACAUAGCACAUUCCAAUUUAUAACAAUAUAUCACUAACCUAACCUAUACAUUGCUAUGUUAUUUGAAUUCCAUCUAGUAUGUUUUUGUCUGAUUAAUAGACACGUUAUUCAUGUUUAAUUUGAUGUUAUCAAACUAUAACAUAUGUUACAUAACAAAGUUUUGUUAUAUAACAUAUAACAUAUCCAAUUUUAAUAUCAUAGCAUUAUACACCAUUGUCCUAUGUAUUGUACAUUGUAAUGUUAUUUCCAUCUAGGUGCAAUAGUUGUGAUUUACAAACGUGUUUUACAUUUGUAAUUUGAUGUUAAGUAUAUUAAAUAUUUUAAUUUUAAUAUUUUAAUUAUUUUACAUGUUUUAUAUUAAAUAUGAUAUACCUACUUCAAAGUCGUUUUUUUACCCGACUACGGCAAAGCCGAAAGGAAGGGUUAUGAUUUUUUUAUUUCCUGUUACUAUAUAACAUUGGAGUAUUAUUUGUUAUCUACAUACCAUACAGACAUACAUAUUCCAUGUAUGUCUGUAUGAGUGUUAAGCAAUAACUCAUUACACUAACAUCGAGACAAUCAGUUACAUCGAGCCAGCUAUCCAUUUAGUUAACACUAAAAAUGAUUAAAACAAAAAAAAAAUUGUAUAAAAAAUAAUAUAAAUGAUGAGAUUAUGGGUAAAAUAAAAGAUUUAUUUAGUCGGGACUU